AGUGAACGCUGGCGGCGUGCCUAAUACAUGCAAGUCGAACGAUGAAGCUCUAGCUUGCUAGAGUGGAUUAGUGGCGCACGGGUGAGUAAUGCAUAGGUUAUGUGCCCUUUAGUCUAGGAUAGCCAUUGGAAACGAUGAUUAAUACUGGGUACUCCCUACGGGGGAAAGUUUUUCGCUAAAGGAUCAGCCUAUGUCCUAUCAGCUUGUUGGUGAGGUAAUGGCUCACCAAGGCUAUGACGGGUAUCCGGCCUGAGAGGGUGAACGGACACACUGGAACUGAGACACGGUCCAGACUCCUACGGGAGGCAGCAGUAGGGAAUAUUGCUCAAUGGGGGAAACCCUGAAGCAGCAACGCCGCGUGGAGGAUGAAGGUUUUCGGAUUGUAAACUCCUUUUCUAAGAGAAGAUUAUGACGGUAUCUUAGGAAUAAGCACCGGCUAACUCCGUGCCAGCCGCCGCGGUAA
rnacentral:rRNA from 1 species